rnacentral:rRNA from 2 species
AGUCGUACGCACUGGCCCAACUGAUUGAUGGUGCUUGCACCUGAUUGACGAUGGAUCACCAGUGAGUGGCGGACGGGUGAGUAACACGUAGGUAACCUGCCCCGGAGCGGGGGAUAACAUUUGGAAACAGAUGCUAAUACCGCAUAACAACAAAAGCCACAUGGCUUUUGUUUGAAAGAUGGCUUUGGCUAUCACUCUGGGAUGGACCUGCGGUGCAUUAGCUAGUUGGUAAGGUAACGGCUUACCAAGGCGAUGAUGCAUAGCCGAGUUGAGAGACUGAUCGGCCACAAUGGAACUGAGACACGGUCCAUACUCCUACGGGAGGCAGCAGUAGGGAAUCUUCCACAAUGGGCGCAAGCCUGAUGGAGCAACACCGCGUGAGUGAAGAAGGGUUUCGGCUCGUAAAGCUCUGUUGUUGGAGAAGAACGUGCGUGAGAGUAACUGUUCACGCAGUGACGGUAUCCAACCAGAAAGUCACGGCUAACUACGUGCCAGCAGCCGCGGUAAUACGUAGGUGGCAAGCGUUAUCCGGAUUUAUUGGGCGUAAAGCGAGCGCAGGCGGUUGCUUAGGUCUGAUGUGAAAGCCUUCGGCUUAACCGAAGAAGUGCAUCGGAAACCGGGCGACUUGAGUGCAGAAGAGGACAGUGGAACUCCAUGUGUAGCGGUGGAAUGCGUAGAUAUAUGGAAGAACACCAGUGGCGAAGGCGGCUGUCUGGUCUGCAACUGACGCUGAGGCUCGAAAGCAUGGGUAGCGAACAGGAUUAGAUACCCUGGUAGUCCAUGCCGUAAACGAUGAGUGCUAGGUGUUGGAGGGUUUCCGCCCUUCAGUGCCGGAGCUAACGCAUUAAGCACUCCGCCUGGGGAGUACGACCGCAAGGUUGAAACUCAAAGGAAUUGACGGGGGUC